rnacentral:rRNA from 1 species
UGGCUCAGAUUGAACGCUGGCGGCAGGCCUAACACAUGCAAGUCGAGCGGUAACACAGGAGAGCUUGCUCUCUGGGUGACGAGCGGCGGACGGGUGAGUAAUGUCUGGGAAACUGCCCGAUGGAGGGGGAUAACUACUGGAAACGGUAGCUAAUACCGCAUAACGUCUUCGGACCAAAGAGGGGGACCUUCGGGCCUCUUGCCAUCGGAUGUGCCCAGAUGGGAUUAGCUAGUAGGUGGGGUAAUGGCUCACCUAGGCGACGAUCCCUAGCUGGUCUGAGAGGAUGACCAGCCACACUGGAACUGAGACACGGUCCAGACUCCUACGGGAGGCAGCAGUGGGGAAUAUUGCACAAUGGGCGCAAGCCUGAUGCAGCCAUGCCGCGUGUAUGAAGAAGGCCUUCGGGUUGUAAAGUACUUUCAGCGAGGAGGAAGGCAUUAAGGUUAAUAACCUUAGUGAUUGACGUUACUCGCAGAAGAAGCACCGGCUAACUCCGUGCCAGCAGCCGCGGUAAUACGGAGGGUGCAAGCGUUAAUCGGAAUUACUGGGCGUAAAGCGCACGCAGGCGGUCUGUCAAGUCGGAUGUGAAAUCCCCGGGCUCAACCUGGGAACUGCAUUCGAAACUGGCAGGCUAGAGUCUUGUAGAGGGGGGUAGAAUUCCAGGUGUAGCGGUGAAAUGCGUAGAGAUCUGGAGGAAUACCGGUGGCGAAGGCGGCCCCCUGGACAAAGACUACGCUCA